CCUACGGGUGGCAGCAGUGGGGAAUAUUGCACAAUGGGCGCAAGCCUGAUGCAGCCAUGCCGCGUGUGUGAAGAAGGCCUUCGGGUUGUAAAGCACUUUCAGCGGGGAGGAAGGCGUUAAGGUUAAUAACCUUGGCGAUUGACGUUACCCGCAGAAGAAGCACCGGCUAACUCCGUGCCAGCAGCCGCGGUAAUACGGAGGGUGCAAGCGUUAAUCGGAAUUACUGGGCGUAAAGCGCACGCAGGCGGUCUGUCAAGUCGGAUGUGAAAUCCCCGGGCUCAACCUGGGAACUGCAUUCGAAACUGGCAGGCUAGAGUCUUGUAGAGGGGGGUAGAAGUCCAGGUGUAGCGGUGAAAUGCGUAGAGAUCUGGAGGAAUACCGGUGGCGAAGGCGGCCCCCUGGACAAAGACUGACGCUCAGGUGCGAAAGCGUGGGGAGCAAACAGGAUUAGAUACCCCUGUAGUC
rnacentral:rRNA from 1 species